rnacentral:rRNA from 1 species
UACGUAGGGGGCAAGCGUUGUCCGGAAUCAUUGGGCGUAAAGCGCGUGUAGGCGGCUCGGAAAGUCUGGUGUGAAAUCCUGCGGCUCAACCGCAGACUGUCACUGGAUACUGUCGAGCUUGAGUCCGGAAGAGGAGAGUGGAAUUCCUGGUGUAGCGGUGGAAUGCGCAGAUAUCAGGAGGAACACCAGUGGCGAAGGCGGCGAUCUGGGAACAUACUGACGCUGAGGUGCGAAAGCGUGGGGAGCAGACAGG